rnacentral:rRNA from 1 species
UACGUAGGGUGCGAGCGUUAAUCGGAAUUACUGGGCGUAAAGUGUGCGCAGGCGGCUGAGCAAGUCGAGUGUGAAAGCCCCGGGCUUAACUUGGGAAUUGCGCUCGAAACUACUUGGCUGGAGUGUGGCAGAGGAAGGUGGAAUUCCACGUGUAGCGGUGAAAUGCGUGGAGAUGUGGAGGAACACCAAUGGCGAAGGCAGCCUUCUGGGCCAACACUGACGCUCAUGCACGAAAGCGUGGGGAGCAAACAGG